rnacentral:sRNA from 1 species
GAUGAACAGCGAUGUGGAAGUCCUGGUGAUGUGAUUGGUUGUGUCGUUGGCCUUUAAGUAUUGAACCAACGUUCCAUUCCUAGGAGAAAUCCCAUCUGGUUAAGAAGAAGCUCAUGGUUACAAAGGAAUACUUGUUGAGUUUUACAGCAAAGAAACCAAUAUGUUUGAGGACCUGGAAGUCCCACCCUUUUCCUUCCACCAAGCAAUUGGCCCUUGGCAUCUUUACUGAUAGAUCAAGAAUCAA